rnacentral:lncRNA from 1 species
CCUGUAGCGGUCUCCACAGCAGCAAGCAGUAGAUCUGUUGUGGAGGCAGUGAGAUUGAAGGCCGAGGGAAGGGAGUUCUGGCAGAUGAGUGAAGGGAGGUUGGUGGGGGUCAUCGAUGGGUGGGCUUGCGGGUUGGGAGAUGGGGGCCCGACAGGUCAGUGGAUGAGGGUCUUGCGGGCUCAAGCAAAGCCCACCCAUAGGGCUAGUUACGAUUGAGUGGGGCUCGUUAAACUUUGACUUCUACACGUUUUCCAGCAAGUGACCCGCGCCGAGUGUUCCUGCGCAUCCCCCCAGGCCCCUCUUUACACGCGCCCCGCCUGUCCCUCUGUCCGUCCUCCCUCGUCCGAGGCAGGGGCCUGGUGCGAAUGCCCAGCUGAAGUGAAUCCGCAUCUGAAGGCCUCUGCGGCACCUGGGCAAGACAUCCCCGUGAGCCUUCACACAUCUCUGCCUUCUCCUGAGAAUAGGACGAAAUGGCCAAAUCCCAGGAAAGAGCAUACCAAGGCCUUGGGAAACCAGUUUCCUGGAAUUGUGUUUCGGGGUAUUUCUUUGCUGGGUCUUCAUGUGAAACUGUCUUCAACCACAGCCUGGUGAGAAAUGCAGUUCCCAGUUUCCUCCAGUUAAUUUUCACAACACUCCCAGCGACCUGGAGAUGUGGUCAAAAUGUAAUUCAGAAAUGAAAUCUCUUAGCGAACUUCUCUUGUGUUUGAAAUGGUUUUCGUGA